rnacentral:rRNA from 1 species
GGCCCUAAAAAGCCCCCUAAACAUAAAGGUUUGGUCCUGGCCUUGUGAUCAAUUUUUACUUAAUAUACACAUGCAAGUUUCCGCAUCCCUGUGAGAACGCCCUUAAACCCCCUCUAGGGGAAAGGAGCUGGUAUCAGGCACGAUAUUCUGCCCAAGACACCUAGUUUCGCCACACCCACAAGGGAAAUCAGCAGUGAUUAACAUUGGACAUUAAGCGUCAGCUUGAUUCAGUUAAAGUAAACAGAGCCGGCUAAUCUGGUGCCAGCCGCCGCGGUUACACCAUGUGGCUCAAAUUGAUUAUCAUCGGCGUAAAGCGUGAUUAAAGUUUAAUCCCAAUUAGAGUUAAACUAAAACUAAGCCGUGACACGCUUGUUACUAAGAAAUCCAGAAACGAAAGUUACUCCAAUUUAACCAACUUGAACUCACGACAGCUAGGAUACAAACUGGGAUUAGAUACCCCACUAUGCCUAGUCGUAAAACUUUAAUUUACAUCUCUAUCGCCAGGGAACUACGAGCCAAGCU